rnacentral:rRNA from 1 species
CCUGGCUCAGGAUGUACGCUAGCGGCAGGCUUAACACAUGCAAGUCGAGGGGUAUAUUUCUUCGGAGAUAGAGACCGGCGCACGGGUGCGUAACGCGUAUGCAAUCUACCUUUUACAGAGGGAUAGCCCAGAGAAAUUUGGAUUAAUACCUCAUAGUAUAGUACAAUCGCAUGAUUGAACUAUUAAAGUCACAACGGUGAAAGAUGAGCAUGCGUCCCAUUAGCUAGUUGGUAAGGUAACGGCUUACCAAGGCUACGAUGGGUAGGGGUCCUGAGAGGGAGAUCCCCCACACUGGUACUGAGACACGGACCAGACUCCUACGGGAGGCAGCAGUGAGGAAUAUUGGACAAUGGGCGCAAGCCUGAUCCAGCCAUGCCGCGUGCAGGAUGACGGUCCUAUGGAUUGUAAACUGCUUUUGCACAGGAAGAAACAUCCCGACGUGUCGGGACUUGACGGUACUGUGAGAAUAAGGAUCGG